rnacentral:rRNA from 1 species
UACGUAGGUCCCGAGCGUUGUCCGGAUUUAUUGGGCGUAAAGCGAGCGCAGGUGGUUUAUUAAGUCUGGUGUAAAAGGCAGUGGCUCAACCAUUGUAUGCAUUGGAAACUGGUAGACUUGAGUGCAGGAGAGGAGAGUGGAAUUCCAUGUGUAGCGGUGAAAUGCGUAGAUAUAUGGAGGAACACCGGUGGCGAAAGCGGCUUUCUGGCUCAUAACUGACGCUGAGGCGCGAAAGCGUGGGGAGCAAACAGG